rnacentral:rRNA from 1 species
UGGGGAAUAUUGGACAAUGGGCGAAAGCCUGAUCCAGCCAUGCCGCGUGUGUGAAGAAGGUCUUCGGAUUGUAAAGCACUUUAAGUUGGGAGGAAGGGCAGUAAGCGAAUACCUUGCUGUUUUGACGUUACCGACAGAAUAAGCACCGGCUAACUCUGUGCCAGCAGCCGCGGUAAUACAGAGGGUGCAAGCGUUAAUCGGAAUUACUGGGCGUAAAGCGCGCGUAGGUGGUUCGUUAAGUUGAAUGUGAAAGCCCCGGGCUCAACCUUGGAACUGCAUCCAAACCUGGCGAGCUAGAGUAGGGCAGAGGGUGGUGGAAUUUCCUGUGUAGCGGUGAAAGGCGUAGAUAUAGGAAGGAACACCAGUGGCGAAGGCGACCACCUGGGCUCAUACUGACACUGAGGUGCGAAAGCGUGGGGAGCAAACAGG